rnacentral:lncRNA from 1 species
UAAAAGAUCAACAACAAUGAAGACCACAUCGUUGCUUUUCUCCUUGCUGCUCAUUGCCCUUGCUGUGAAGCCUUUUUCUGUGGCUGCUGAAUCUGCUCCUGACCCUGUGCUUGAUACUGAGGGAAAGAAGCUCCGGUCCGGAGUUGAUUACUACAUCCUGCCAGUUUUCCGUGGGAGAGGCGGUGGCCUCACCCUGGCCAGCACUGGGAACGAGACCUGCCCUCUUGAUGUUGUCCAAGAACAGCAAGAGGUAUCAAACGGUCUCCCAUUGACGUUUACGCCGGUGAACCCCAAAAAAGGCGUGAUUCGUGUGUCCACCGAUCAUAACAUCAAGUUCUCUGCUUCCACAAUCUGUGUACAAUCCACUUUGUGGAAGCUUGAGUAUGAUGAAUCGUCCGGACAACGGUUUGUCACAACUGGUGGGGUGGAAGGCAAUCCAGGUCGUGAAACUCUGGAUAAUUGGUUCAAGAUUGAGAAAUAUGAAGAUGACUACAAGCUGGUCUUCUGUCCAACAGUGUGUGAUUUCUGCAAGCCUGUUUGUGGGGACAUCGGCAUUUAUAUCCAGAAUGAAUACAGGCGUUUGGCUCUGAGUGAUGUGCCCUUCAAGGUUAAGUUCAAGAAGGCUUGAAGAUGUGUUGAAUAUUAAUUAACCAUAUAUGCAUGUAAUAAGUUUAAGGAGUACUUUUCUCCUAUAUUUCAAUAAUAGUUGAAGCUUUUCUUAACAGAAAAUCCAUGUUCAAACUUCCUCUUUGCAUGCAGUUUAUAUCAUUACAGAUAUAAAUUCGCCAUUUUCAGUAUGUAAUAAAGGGCCACAAGUGUGUAUCAAAGGACUAGUGCCUUUUCCCAGAAGCAUAUUUGGAGGUCAGACUUAUAUAAUUUUUUUUAUCUUUAAUUAAUUUGCACUCACUGCACUACUUUCAAAAAAUAUUCUUCCUACAUGCCCUAGUAAAACCUUUGUCCCUCUCACAAGCAUCAUUUCGAAAUUGCCCUCUUCACUCGUAUGAACUUAUCCACUUUCCUAAAUUUACCAAAAAUAUAAUAAUUUUUAAAUUUUCAUUAAAAAUAUUGCCAGUUUUCAAACAAUUAUUAAUAAUGUAUUUCUUUUGUUAAAAGGGAAUUAUUGUUAUAAUAUAUAUAUGAUAAUUUGUCGCAUUGUCAAAAUUUGUGAAUAAUCAUUUAUAUUAAUGUAAAUCUCUUUGUGACUUUCGAGGAGACAUUUAAUAAUGAAAUAUGCAUUUAACUUCUUUCUUUAACAUUCUAUUUUAUCCUCCUCUUUCCACUUUAUUUUCUACAACACAUUAUCAAUACAAACAUAACAAAGGAGCACAAGACUAUAGCAAAGUCCAAAAUCUCAUUUAUUUUCAAAGAUUCCACAUGAUAAGAUGGAUGAAUCCCCCUAACUUGACUAAUUGCAUAACACAUCAUGAAGAUGUAUGUCUUGCUGACUGUGCAACAACACAUACAAUUAUUCGAGAUAAAAAAUAUUUCCCGAACUUAGCAUUUGCAUUAGUCAAUGUUAACACAAUAUCAAGUUCGAUAAACCUGAUUCAAGGCUCUGAAAAGUCAUUAUUACUUGGUGAAACAAAAUUUAAUAUUAAAUAUGGGUUAUAUUCUACCAAAUAAUCCCAAAGGAAUUUUUUUAGUUUUAAAAAUAUUCACCGAAAUAGAUAUCAUAUUAAAAGUACUAUGAAUAAAGGUAAUAUAGAAUAUCUCUACAUUACUUUAGUUACUUUGGACAAAAGCAUCUAUUAGAGAAACUCUCUGCCUUUUCUUAUAGGUCGUAUCACACAACCAUUUAAUCCAUUAAAGCAUAUAUUAUAAUGAACCAAAGGUUCUACGACCCAAAUACCUCUAUGCUUUGGCAUGAACGACUUAGUCACCUAGGUUCAUAUAUGAUGUGCAUUGUAUCACCAAUAAUUCUCAUGAGCACCCUUUAAAGAACCACAAGAUUCUUUUGUCCAAGAAUUAAUAUAGUUGUGAUAUUUGCUUACAAGGUAAAUUGAUUAUUAAUGUUAAUGUUACCAAAGUGACAAGUCUCAGAAUCUCCAACCUUCUUAAAAAGAAUUCAUGGGGAUAUACAUACCCUCGUACUAUUUUGGUAUUUUAUGGUCUCAAUAAAUACCUCUACUAAAUGGUCACAUUUUGCCUUCUUUCUACUCACAAUGUCACCUUACUUGCUCAAAUAAUUCAUUUAAGAACACAAUUUCCAGAUUAUCCUAUUAAGAAAAUUCAUCUUGAUAAUACUAAUGAAUUUUCAUCUCAAUCAUUAAUUGACCAUUAUAUGUCAAUUGGAAUUAACAUUAAACAUCUUAUUACUCGUAUCCAUACCCAAAAUGGUUUAGUUGAAUCCCUUAUCAAAAGGCUUGAAUUGAUUGCUUGACCAUUAUUUCUUAGAACCAGGGUUUAAAAAAUUAGAAUUUUUUUCCUCAAAUUUUGGUGAAAAAUAACCCAAAAAUCGACGAUUUCAACAAUAUUUCGAUGAAUUCCCGAUAAUCGAUUGAGACUGGAGAGCACGAACGGAUGGGGGACGACACUGUAAAAACUUUGACGAUUUUUUUGGUAAUUUUUUUCAAAAAUCUUUUUUUUAAAAAAAUUAUCUAUAAUCUUUAAUUAAAAUUUUCAAUUUAUCUUUUAUUUUAAAUUUAUAUCACCCUUUUAUUUUAUAUUGUCCUUUUAUUUUAAUUAUUUUUCACAUUUAUCUCAUUAAUCCUAUUUUUAAAAAUUACUAUCACUUCACUUUAAUUUUUUUUAUAUUUAUCCUUCUAAUUUUAUUUAAUUUUAAAUGUUUUUAUUUUAAAAUAUUAAAAAUAUAAAUUUAUUCAAAUAUUGGAAAAAUAUAAAAAAUUAAUAAAGUUCUAAAAUUUUUAUAAAUUAAAAAUAAUUUGAUAAAAUAAAUUAUUAAUAAAUUUUUUAAUAAUUUUAAUUAUUUAAAUAAAUUAAUGCUAAUAAAAAAAAGUUAUCACAACAAAUUUGUAACAAAAUUUUAGAAGUUAAAUCUCAAAUAAAUAUUUUUUUGUAAAUGGAAUUAAUUUUUUAUUUAAAAUCUAAUAAAAACAUGUUUUCAUAAAAAUAGUUUUUAAUUUUUAAAAUAAAUGAAUAUAAAUAUAUUAAAAGAAUUUAAGUUAAUAUUUUCUUAAAAAAUUUGAUAAACAUUAUCUUUGAUAGUACCUAUAUCAAUUACACUUACAAAAUAACUUUAAUAUAUGUAUUCUUGUUUAUUUUAUCAUUUUUUUGAAGUUUUUCUAAGCAUUUUCAUGAAUAUUUAAUAAUUUUCAUCCCACCAAUAUUUUUGUCAAAAUAUCCACUGAUAUUUUAUCGAUAUUUUUGUAAAAUUCAAAUACCGAUAUAUUUGUAUUUAUCAAUAUUUCAAACCUUGCUUAGAACUAAACUACCUUUUUUUUUUACUUGUGGUCAUGCUGCCUUUCGCUCACCACAAUCUUUCACCUUUAUAACUUGUACUUAGUUAAUAAUAAAAUGUUUCUCACUUACAAUUUUUUUUUAUGAAGCUAUCCAUGUCCCUAUUACUCUUUCUCAGAUGAUUAAGAUGGAUCCUCGAAGACAUUUUGGCAUUUAUGCUAGUUUUGAUUCCGAAUAUUUGAAAACUCAAAUAAGUGAUGUUUUUAUGACACAUUUUAUCUAUUACCAUUUUGAUGAGACAAUUUUCUCAUCGUUAGGGGAGGAAAGUUAUUUGCAGCAGAACAACAUGAAAAUAAUUAGGGAAACUUGUGCUUUGGAGUUGCUAUUUGGGAAUUAUAUGGUUUUCGGAACCCAACAAUGGGAAAAAUGAGAAUUAGCUUUUAAUAUGAAAAGUAUUAUCGUUUUUGUGCACUCUGAGCUGGCUCCAUCUUCUGUGCCCAAAUUGCCACUCCAUUUCUCCAUCUCAGCAUCCUUAGCAUCAUCCCAACCUCCAUGUCAGCAGGACCAUUGAAAUUAUGAAAAAAACACUAAAUUUUGGAUCUUUAUUUCUCAAAAAAAAAAAAAAACACCCGACCUGAUGACCCAAUCUAAAUGUUUUCCUCUCUCAUUUGGAAACUUUCUCUCAUCUUUCUUCAUUCUCGACAACACAAAAUUUCUCUCAUUUUAGUUUAGAAACCAAAAUCCAAAACUCCAAGGCGGCGUUAAAACACACCUUUUGGCGUGCCUUUGGUUAAGACACCUCAACUGGGCACUUACCUUAAGCCCUAGCCGCAGUUGGCUCUCGUCUAGCAGCCAUGGGAGUCCAAGAGAAUUCUGUAAAAACGAAAUGGAGCUCGGGUGGAGAGAGUAGGUACCCAAAAACCAAAACCCUAACCUCCAAAUGCAUCCUAGACUCGGAAAUCCAUGUCCAAGAUAGCUCUAUCAACAAGAAAUGACACCAAACAUCUCUCUUAGACCAUUGAAUCAACGAAGCCUUGAAGAACCAGAGGAAACACUGCAGAAAAUGAAGUGCGAGAGACUCUUAAAGUAUCGGGUCUAGACAAACUGGUCGACCGGUCCUCGACCGAUAGUCAAUUGGGGAGAAACGUAUACUGGAAGAGAGAGAAUGUUUGUUCCCCUUUGGUAUUUUGGUGACUGUACAUUAGGUACUACCUUAAUAGCCCUUAGGCACUACCUUAAUCUACUUUAGGUACUACGUUAACCGACUUUAGGUUCUACCUUAGUUAAAUUUGUGUACUACCUGUGUGAAGGCUCGAAACUUCAUUUGUGGAUAUUACUUACUUUAUUUGUGACCCUUAAAGGAUGCCAUUAUGUGAUUAAUUAGUGUGGUCAAUUGGUUCACCUUUGGUAUUUUGGUGACUAUACCUUAGGUACUACCUUAAUCUACCUUAGAUACUAUCUUAACUGACCUUAGGUACUAUCUUAGUUAACCUUGACAUAAGAACUGUUAUUAUCCUAAAAUGUGGAAUACAUGUGUGAAUUAUAUACAUUUUGUACUAUCUUUUGCAAUAGUCAUUCAUAAUAGCAACUAUGGCAACUACAAUGCUAGCUAUUUACCCCAUUUGCUCAAAUUUGACCUCCUUCAACCUGAGUUAUGCUUUAGAGACUCGUGGAACUGACCUGAUAAAGCUAAUCCGCCACUACAAAAAACUUCAUCGAUUGUGGGUACUAACUUUUAUCCUAACUAUCAUCUCUAAAAAUCAAUACUCUUCCUUUAUUGAGAUGUAUGACAAGUUCCUAUGAUUUAUGCAAAUAUUGGAUUGCAUUGGAGACAAGGGACUAGGAGUUGUAGCUUCUAUGGACUUUGUAGAUGCAUUCUAACCUUCCAAAUUUUUAUUGUUUUCUAGUAGUUGUACUUUGUUUAGGUGAAUUGAUUAUUCUAUUUUUAGUUAAGGCAGAUUUAGGGAUAUGCUAUUUAAUUUACCAAAGAUCUCUUGUUUGUAAUUCUCAUUAUCAUAUAUAGAUCUUGGUUAAGAUUUGCCUAUUUCCUCAGCAGCAAUAAUAUUAGUUACUAAUGAAAUGAAUCUUGUGUAACCUGUAACAUCAUUUUUGUGUAACCUUAUAAAUAAUACUUUUGAGACCAAGAAAAAUUAUUAUUUUAAUAAGGCUAUUGAUUUAUUGAUAAAUGAAUAUUUAUUAAUUUAUAAAAAGUAUUAUAUUUUCAUUUUAUAAUAUUUAUACAUGUAUGACUUAUAAAUAAGGUAUUCUAAUUACAAUAAUAAUAAUAAUAAAAAUUAGAUACCUCAAAGAUAGGUAGACUCAUCAAUGGACCCUCUAUCCUCUUGUUUUCCAUCUAAUUUUUCAUGUCCAUCAUAGAAAAUAAGAUGGUUAAUUAUUCAUUAUUUUUUCAAUCCAACUGCUCUUUUGAUUUUGGAAAAAAAAAAUAUAUAUCUUUAUCAAUAUUAAUUUGACCAGAAUGAAGACAAAUUUACCUAAGCAUAGCAUUAUGACCAAAAUAUAAAAAUAAUAAUAGAAAUAAAAACCCUCGUAUGAUUUGAAGCAUCUAGUUACCCAUUAUUAAAACCCAUGAAGUCUAGGUAGCAAAUGAAGGAACUAAAUCCUGCAAUAGAGAUGAUAUUGAUCCUUCAAAUGAUUCACAUACAUGAAUAAAUUUGGGUUGGUGUAAGAGGCAAUAGUUGUUUCAUCAUGGACACAAUUUCUAUUAUUUUCCCUUCUAUGCUUUCAUGGUUUAGCCACAAAUGUCAUUUUCUCUUUGCUCCCCACUUUCAAUUUUAGCUCAUUCAACUGUCUAGGAGCGGGUUGGUGUCCUUUUCAGUUUUAGACAUAAAACUGGUCGACUGGUUACCUCAUCCCAGAUGGGGUCCGGUUGAGAGAUGCAAAACAUUUUCUCUUUCUUCCAGUAGCAUUAAUCACAAAAUGGCAUGCUCUAAAGGUCACAAAUGAAGUAAAUAAUAUCCAUAAAUGAAGUUCUAAGCCUUCACAUAGGUAGUACGCAAGUUUAACUAAGGUAGUACCUAAGGUCAGUUAAGGUAGUACCUAAAGUAGAUUAAGAUAGUAUCAAGGGCAAUUAAGAUAGUACCUAAAGUACAAUCAUUAAAAUACCAUAGGUGAACCAACUGAACACACUAAUUAAUCACAAAAUGGCAUGCUUUAGGGGUCAUAAAUGAAGUAAGUAAUAUAUACAAAUAAAGUUUCAAGCCUUCACAUAGGUAGUACGCAAAUUUAACUAAGGUAGUACCUAAGGUCGGUUAAGGUAGUACCUAAAGUAGAUUAAGGUAGUACAUAAGGUACAGUCACCAAAAUACCAAAGGGAAACAAACAUUCUCUCUCUUCCAAUAGACUUUUCUUCCUAGUUGAGGAUCGGUCAACUGGUUCGUCAGGACCCAAUACUUUAUGAGUCUCCCGCACUUCAUCUUCUACAUCUUUUCCUUUGGUUCUUCAAGGGUUUUUCCGAUUCAAUGGUCUAGGAGAGAUGGUUGGUGCUAUUUCUUGCUGAUAUAGCUAUCUUAGACAUAGAUUUGUGAGUCUAGGACGCAUUUUGAGGUUAGGGUUUCGGUUUUUGGGUACCUACUCUCUCCACCCGAGCUCCAUUUCGUUUUUCUCGAAUUCUCUUAGACUCCCAUGGCUCCUAGAUGAGAGUCAGUUGUGGCUAGGGCUCAGGGCAAGCGCCUAGUUAAGGUGUCCAAGCCAGAGGCAUGCCGAAAGUCGCGUUUUGAUGUUGCCUUGGAGUUUUGGAUUUGGGUUUCUGAACUGAAAUGAGAGAAAUUUUAGGUUGUUAGGAGUGAAGAAGGAUGAUAGAAAGAUUUUAAAUGAGAUAGGAAAACAUUUAGAUUGGGUGGUCGGUUCAGGUUAGGUCCUGCUAACAUGGAGGUUGGGAGAAUGUUGAGGAUGCUAAGCUAGAGAAACGGACGGGCAAUUUGGGCACAGAAGAUGGAGUCGACUCAAAGUGCACAAAAAUGAUAAUACUUUUUAUAUUAAAAGGUGAUUCUCAUAUUCCCCAUUGUUGGGUUCUGAAAACAAUAUAAUUCCCAAAUAGCAGCUUCAAAACACAAGUUUCCCAAAUAAUUAAAGAUAGAAAACAUCCAUUGUCGAAUCUUGUGGUCCAAGCUAUUGAUUGAGAUAUAUAUAUCAACAUAUAUACUUAGGAAAAAAUGUUAUAUGAUGUGUGAGGAUAAGCUGUUUUAACUUUAUAAUGAAGGACAGUUUGAAUUCAAAUAAUUCAACUUCAAACUUCUCUCCUGUAUUAAUUUCUUCAUUGAUCGAGGCUACCUGAUAUGAUUCAACUAGGGUUUUAGAUCAUCCAUUUAUAUAUAGAAGUUAAGUUAGGUAAUAGUGAUAAAGAUUACAAUGAAACACUACAAGUGCUCAAACUCACAAGGAUUACUCAACCUACAUGAUAGCUCUAUAAAUACAAUCUGUUUCUGNNNNNNNNNNNNNNNNNNNNNNNNNNNNNNNNNNNNNNNNNNNNNNNNNNNNNNNNNNNNNNNNNNNNNNNNNNNNNNNNNNNNNNNNNNNNNNNNNNNNAUUAUUUUCAAACAAAAUAACAAUUAUUAAUAUUUUGAUUCAUUUUUAAAUACUUUCACAAAAAUAUAUUUUAACCACAUAUUAUUUUAAUUUAUCAAAAUAUUUUUAGGAAAUGAGUUAUUUUCCAUUUAUUACUAUCCUAUUUUUCAAAACAUUAUUUCAGGCAUUUCAUUCACAUUUUAAAAUUUCAAAUACUAAAAUUAUUGUUUUUAUAAAACAACAAAGCAUGUAAAUUUCAACUACUAAAAUUAUUGUUUUUAUAGAAUAAACAAAGCAACAUACACUUAUCUUCCAUUUACUAAUUCAACUAUUACAAUCACCCCAAUAUUUUGUUCACCUACCAAUAAUUCAUUCCAUGUAGGUGACUCUAAAAAAAAAAAGUCAUAUUUAUAAUACCCUUUACGACUCUAAUACCCAAUAUUCUAUUCUAUUUAGGUGACUCAAUACAAAGAAAGUGGGAAUGUUUUCUUAGGUUAACCGAAGAAAACCCUAAAUAACUUAAGUGCUUUUGGAUUAAUUGAGUAUCAUCUUGUAGUAGAUGUCAAUCUCUAUUAUUAGACUUCACCAAAAAGCUCCUAGCACGGUGGAAAAAAGUAUCAAAUAUAGUCAAGUCUUCAAUAAAAUACUAUUUCAUGCGAAAAAUUACUACAAACUAGUGUAUCUCUCAUUCUCAAUUAGACAAAAUUUUUAAAAAUAAUUCAUUUUUCUUGUUUUCAUUUGUUUUGGGGCUUAUUAGCAAUGAAACAAAAAAUAUGUUAGAAUGUUAAACCUAGUUUUUACUUCCCUGGAACUCGAUAAAAAACACCAUUUACAAAACCCACAUCAUAGAUAUACUAAAUCAAGAGAUAUAAAACAAUUAUACUAACAAAGUUUUUUGCAUUAAUAAAAAAAAUGAAGAUGGUAGAUAAGAGAUUUUGACUUACCCGAGAUUUUACGAAGCAAAGAAUAUCAAUUAUGGGUGUGCCGACCAUGGGUGUGAGAAGAAGGAGAAGAAAACGAUGGUUAGGGUUAAGCAAUAAGAUCUUUUAUAUUAGUUAAUGUAUAUAUGGAAACAAUGGACUUUUCAUAAAUUGUUCCUACUCACUAUUUUUAAAAAGGGCCCAUUAAGUAAUAAAAUUUAAAACUUUUUAUUUCAUAUGGUGUCACUUCCAAAAAAUGACACCGUAAAUCUGAAAUUAGCAUCAUCUAACUAUCAUAAUUGAAGAUUUUUUAUAUGAUGUGUCACCUUUAUAAAUUUUAAGUUCAAUGGUGUCAUUAUUUUAAAUGCGACACCAUAAAUAGUGACAUCAUAUAUUAUUUUUGUAGUAGUGUAAUACUUUUUAUAUUAAAAGGUGAUUCUCAUAUUCCCCAUUGUUGGGUUCUGAAAACAAUAUAAUUCCCAAAUAGCAGCUUCAAAACACAAGUUUCCCAAAUAAUUAAAGAUAGAAAACAUCCAUUGUCGAAUCUUGUGGUCCAAGCUAUUGAUUGAGAUAUAUAUAUCAACAUAUAUACUUAGGAAAAAAUGUUAUAUGAUGUGUGAGGAUAAGCUGUUUUAACUUUAUAAUGAAGGACAGUUUGAAUUCAAAUAAUUCAACUUCAAACUUCUCUCCUGUAUUAAUUUCUUCAUUGAUCGAGGCUACCUGAUAUGAUUCAACUAGGGUUUUAGAUCAUCCAUUUAUAUAUAGAAGUUAAGUUAGGUAAUAGUGAUAAAGAUUACAAUGAAACACUACAAGUGCUCAAACUCACAAGGAUUACUCAACCUACAUGAUAGCUCUAUAAAUACAAUCUGUUUCUGCAUUCUUUUCUCAUCAUCAUAAGAUAUAUCUUCUAAAAGGUUAACAACAAUGAAGACUAUAUCGUUACUUUUAUCCUUGCUGCUCAUUGCCCUUGCUUUGAAGCCUUUUCCUGUGGCUGCUGAAGCUGCUCCUGACCCUACUUGACACUGAGGGAAAGAAGCUCCAGUCCGAGGUUGAUUACUACAUCCUGUCAGUCAUCCGUAGGAGAGGCGGUGGUGGCCUCACCCUGGCCAGCACUGGGAACAAGACUUGCCCUCUCGAUGUU